GAGUGUUGUGAGCGUCGUAUUUUCCAUCCAUCAGAUGAACAACCAGCAGUAGUCCAGCAACGAAUGAAAGAAUCCACUACGGAGCCAUGGAAUUUAAUUCGGAUCAAAUAACGACAUACAGUAACAAAUGGACAACAGAGUGCACAAAAUAUAGGAGAGCGUCGAAGAAGCUACAGGGAGAGGGAGAUGUGAUGAUGUACUGGUGACGACCCAGGGACUGGCUGGCUGACGACGAGCGAUCCGGCCGUGGAGGUGGCGGCCGGGCCGAUAGAUCAGCCUGCCUGCGGCUAGCUAGUGGUGCUACCUAGCUAGCAGCUACUUCGGUGGAGGCGGCGACCCGUAGGAGACGCCGUGGACCGGCGGCAUUGGGGGCGGCGGCGACGAGUAGGACACCCCGUAGACCGGCGGGAGGAGCGGGGGCGGCGGCGACGAGUAGGCCACGCCGUGGACCGGUGGCAGAGUUGGUGUUGGUGGCGGUGGGGACGAGUAUGGCACGCCGUGCACAGGUGGGAACAGCGGCCCUCCUGGCGGAGAGGAUGGCGCUCCGCCCUCGCCGCUUGGUGGAGGUGGUGGUGUCCAGGGACCAGGGGCCGGCAGCGGCAGCGGCGAGGAUGGUGUGGGCGCGGUCGGCGGCGUGAGGGCCGGAGGGGCGUACCCGGGUGGAGGUGUUGUGGGUUGGUGACUGG
rnacentral:lncRNA from 1 species